UACGAAGGGUGCAAGCGUUACUCGGAAUUACUGGGCGUAAAGCGUGCGUAGGCGGUGAGUUAAGUCUGUCGUGAAAGCCCCGGGCUCAACCUGGGAAUGGCGAUGGAUACUGGCUCGCUAGAGUGCGGUAGAGGAGAGUGGAAUUCCCGGUGUAGCAGUGAAAUGCGUAGAGAUCGGGAGGAACAUCAGUUGCGAAGGCGGCUCUCUGGACCGAGACUGACGCUGAGGCGCGAAAGCGUGGGGAGCAAACAGG
rnacentral:rRNA from 1 species